rnacentral:tmRNA from 1 species
GGGGAUGCCAGGCAUCGCCGGGAGUACUUUUCACGACGUGCAAGAUGAGGACGUCCGUUACCUCACGAAUCACCGGACAAUCUGAACAACUGCCAAUCUGUUCUCACGCGCGAAGGCCGCACUCGCGAAAGCGUUUGCUCCUUCGUUCGCGCCGGUUCUCGCCUAAGGGCGCAGAACCCAUCCGCCCGGAUGACACCGAUAUUCCGGAUCCGGGUGUCAUACAUCGGUUUGGGCACGGCGUGCGCCUCUGACGCCGCUGCCGACAUGGCCAGGGGAUAGGGAUCGCGGGUUUGGCCCGCUCUUACCGCGGUCUCGAACCAACAAGCGGGCUACGCUUGUACACACGUCGCGGGACGCCUCACCAGACGGGAGUUCAACUCUCCCCAUCUCCACCA